ACAUUGAAACCCCAGUUUUCCUUUGGUCACUGAAGUUAAGCAAUGUUGAGCCUGGUCAGUACCUAAAUGAGUAACCGCUUGGGAAUACCAGGUGCUGUAAG